rnacentral:rRNA from 1 species
AUUGAACGCUGGCGGCAGGCCUAACACAUGCAAGUCGAACGGUAACAGGAAACAGCUUGCUGUUUCGCUGACGAGUGGCGGACGGGUGAGUAAUGUCUGGGAAACUGCCUGAUGGAGGGGGAUAACUACUGGAAACGGUAGCUAAUACCGCAUAACGUCGCAAGACCAAAGAGGGGGACCUUCGGGCCUCUUGCCAUCAGAUGUGCCCAGAUGGGAUUAGCUAGUAGGUGGGGUAACGGCUCACCUAGGCGACGAUCCCUAGCUGGUCUGAGAGGAUGACCAGCCACACUGGAACUGAGACACGGUCCAGACUCCUACGGGAGGCAGCAGUGGGGAAUAUUGCACAAAGGGCGCAAGCCUGAUGCAGCCAUGCCGCGUGUAUGAAGAAGGCCUUCGGGUUGUAAAGUACUUUCAGCGGGGAGGAAGGGAGUAAAGUUAAUACCUUUGCUCAUUGACGUUACCCGCAGAAGAAGCACCGGCUAACUCCGUG